rnacentral:ncRNA from 1 species
UAAUUAAAGCGCCAGGACUUAUUUUUUUAUAAAUUUUUUUUAUCAUGACAUACUUGGAAGUGUUUACGAUAAGGUAUGUUUUAAAUGAAAUUAUAAAUAAUCUAAGUUGACGAGGAUGGGGAGAAUCGAAUCUUCGGCGGGUGCCCCACGGUAUCGCACUACCGUUAAAGAUUGGUAAAAGCAAGAAGUGAUUUUUGUGACAACA